UACAGAGGUCUCGAGCGUUAUGCGGAAUCACUGGGCUUAAAGCGUGUGUAGGUGGAUCGUUAAGUACCUUGUGAAAUCCCACGGCUUAACCGUGGAACUGCUUGGUAUACUGGCGGUCUUGAGCCACUUAGGGGCUACCGGAACAAAUGGUGGAGCGGUGAAAUGCGUAGAUAUCAUUUGGAACGCCAAUGGUGAAAACAGGUAGCUGGGAGUGUGCUGACACUGAGACACGAAAGCCAGGGGAGCAAACGGG
rnacentral:rRNA from 1 species